GCAUGCCUGCGUCGCAGUGUCUCUAUGGCAGAGUGGACCUCUUCCCACACAGCGUCCAGAUCCUGUGGCCUCUGCCUGAUCCAUGGGGUGUGUCAUCUGACCAGUAGCUGUGCCCUGUGUUACCAGCUAACAUUAAGUGUUUGCUCUGAAGCGAGAAGCGUUGCCAAGUGUGAAAUACUGGUUUACCACAAGAGGUGUCAUCUCCCGCCCCACAAAAGACGGCCCACGGACAGCAACCAAACCACUGUGGAACAGCAGAGGCCAGAAGACUUUGUGGAGUGCUCUUCCCGCCCCCAUGAAGCAGGUGGUCUCAUCCCAUCAGCUUGAACUCUGGGGGAGGGCAAUAAAA